UCCCUCAUAGCUUAGUCGGUAAAGAAACUGCCUGGAGUGCAGGAGACCCUGGUUCAAUCUCUGGGUCAGGAAG
rfam:TPA: Bos taurus chromosome 26, whole genome shotgun sequence.